UCUUUCUUUGCUGGCGACCGGCGCACGGGUGAGUAACACGUAUCCAACCUGCCCUUUACUCGGGGAUAGCCUUUCGAAAGAAAGAUUAAUACCCGAUAGCAUAAUGAUUUCGCAUGGUUUCAUUAUUAAAGGAUUCCGGUAAAGGAUGGGGAUGCGUUCCAUUAGGUUGUUGGUGAGGUAACGGCCCACCAAGCCUUCGAUGGAUAGGGGUUCUGAGAGGAAGGUCCCCCACAUUGGAACUGAGACACGGUCCAA
rnacentral:rRNA from 1 species